rnacentral:misc_RNA from 1 species
AAGUCGUAACAAGGUUUCCGUAGGUGAACCUGCGGAAGGAUCAUUAAUGAAUUCUGAGUAGGCUCUGCCUCUCACCCUUCAUAUCCAUAAACACCUGUGCACAGUCGGACCCUUGAGUCUUUCGGGACUCCCGGUGUCUUGACGAUCUUAUCAAACAACAAUGUAACCAAUGCAAUCAUUAUUAUAACAUAAUAAAACUUUUAACAACGGAUCUCUUGGCUCUC